rnacentral:rRNA from 1 species
UACGUAGGGUGCGAGCGUUGUCCGGAAUUAUUGGGCGUAAAGAGCUCGUAGGCGGUCUGUCGCGUCGGUCGUGAAAACUUGGGGCUUAACCCUGAGCUUGCGGUCGAUACGGGCAUGACUGGAGUUCGGCAGGGGAGACUGGAAUUCCUGGUGUAGCGGUGAAAUGCGCAGAUAUCAGGAGGAACACCGGUGGCGAAGGCCGGUCUCUGGGCCGAUACUGGCGGUGAGGAGCGAAAGCGUGGGGAGCGAACAGG